AACGAACGCUGGCGGCAGGCCUAACACAUGCAAGUCGAGCGCACCUUCGGGUGAGCGGCGGACGGGUUAGUAACGCGUGGGAAUAUACCUAGUUCUAAGGAAUAGCCUCUGGAAACGGAGAGUAAUACCUUAUACGCCCUUCGGGGGAAAGAUUUAUCGGAAUUAGAUUAGCCCGCGUUAGAUUAGAUAGUUGGUGGGGUAACGGCCUACCAAGUCUACGAUCUAUAGCUGGUUUGAGAGGAUGAUCAGCAACACUGGGACGUGAGACACGGCCCAGACUCCUACGGGAGGCAGCAGUGGGGAAUCUUGGACAAUGGGCGCAAGCCUGAUCCAGCCAUGCCGCGUGAGUGAUGAAGGCCCUAGGGUCGUAAAACUCUUUCGCCAGGGAUGAUAAUGACAGUACCGUGGUAAAGAAACCCCGCUAACU
rnacentral:rRNA from 1 species